rnacentral:rRNA from 1 species
UACGUAGGGUGCGAGCGUUAAUCGGAAUUACUGGGCGUAAAGCGUGCGCAGGCGGUGGCUCAAGCCAGGCGUGAAAUCCCCGGGCUCAACCCGGGAACUGCGUCCGAUACUGGAAGGCUUGAAUCCGGGAGAGGGAUGCGGAAUUCCAGGUGUAGCGGUGAAAUGCGUAGAUAUCGGGAGGAACACCAAUGGCGAAGGCAGGUCUCUGGGCCGAUACUGACGCUGAGGAGCGAAAGCGUGGGGAGCGAACAGG